UAGGGAAUCUUCCGCAAUGGACGCAAGUCUGACGGAGCAACGCCGCGUGAGUGAAGUAGGAUUUCGGUUCGUAAAACUCUGUUGUUAGAGAAGAACAGCGCAUAGAGUAACUGUUAUGCGUGUGACGGUAUCUAACCAGAAAGCCACGGCUAACUACGUGCCAGCAGCCGCGGUAAUACGUAGGUGGCAAGCGUUGUCCGGAUUUAUUGGGCGUAAAGCGAGCGCAGGCGGUCAAUUAAGUCUGAUGUGAAAGCCCCCGGCUCAACCGGGGAGGGUCAUUGGAAACUGGUUGACUUGAGUGCAGAAGAGGAGAGUGGAAUUCCAUGUGUAGCGGUGAAAUGCGUAGAUAUAUGGAGGAACACCAGUGGCGAAGGCGACUCUCUGGUCUGUAACUGACGCUGAGGCUAGAAAGCGUGGGUAGCAAACAGG
rnacentral:rRNA from 1 species